rnacentral:rRNA from 1 species
AUUGAACGCUGGCGGCAGGCCUAACACAUGCAAGUCGAGCGGAUGAAGGGAGCUUGCUCCUGGAUUCAGCGGCGGACGGGUGAGUAAUGCCUAGGAAUCUGCCUGGUAGUGGGGGAUAACGUCCGGAAACGGGCGCUAAUACCGCAUACGUCCUGAGGGAGAAAGUGGGGGAUCUUCGGACCUCACGCUAUCAGAUGAGCCUAGGUCGGAUUAGCUAGUCGGUGGGGUAAAGGCCUACCAAGGCGACGAUCCGUAACUGGUCUGAGAGGAUGAUCAGUCACACGGGAACUGAGACACGGUCCAGACUCCUACGGGAGGCAGCAGUGGGGAAUAUUGGACAAUGGGCGAAAGCCUGAUCCAGCCAUGCCGCGUGUGUGAAGAAGGUCUUCGGAUUGUAAAGCACUUUAAGUUGGGAGGAAGGGCAGUAAGUUAAUACCUUGCUGUUUUGACGUUACCAACAGAAUAAGCACCGGCUAACUUCGU